rnacentral:rRNA from 1 species
CAGUAGCCACGGUAAUACGUAGGUGGCAAGCGUUGUCCGGAAUUAUUGGGCGUAAAGGGCUCGCAGGCGGAUAGGUCAGUCUGUCUUAAAAGUUCGGGGCUUACCCCGUGAUGGGAUGGAAACUGCCAAUCUAGAGUAUCGGAGAGGAAAGUGGAAUUCCUAGUGUAGCGGUGAAAUGCGCAGAUAUUAGGAAGAACACCAGUGGCGAAGGCGACUUUCUGGACGAAAACUGACGCUGAGGCGCGAAAGCCAGGGGAGCAAAUGGGAUUAGAUACCCGCGUAGUCCCUGUCUCUUAUACAC